UUUUUUUUUAAAUAGAAAACUUAAACAUUUUCAACCCUAGCCUCCAUCUCUCAAGCCCGUUCGCACAUCAGCCUCCAUCUCUCAAGCCCUCACCCUCCAUCUCCGAUCUCAAGCCCUCACACCCCACCGUUAUGCUUUUGUACUUUCAUCAUCGGAUUCUGAAUCACCUUUAACAAGAAGCUAUUCUCAGAGACUCAUAUCCGAUUCUGCAAGCUCAAUUCGUUAGCUUUGUGGUGGAAUUUUAGCCUUGUUGGAGGUGGUGCAGAAGUUGAAGAUCGGAAUUUCACUACUUGGUCGGCUUUGCCAAAUCGCAUUUUUCGAUUUCAUGAAGUGGGUGGAGGUGACAAUUUUGAGUUGUUGAAAUAUCUGGUAGGAAGGAGGAAAAGGGUGAGGCAAUUGAUGAGGACUGAAUCUGGUCUCAAAGUCCAGCAACUAGACAUUCUGCAACAAGCAUUAAAGCUCACUGCAAACAGAUGCAGAUUUUGUAUCAGCAACACCCCAUGUAGAUAAGGGACCAAGUUCUCAAACUCAGGUCAGACACCCUUUCGGCUUAAUUUAUAAAAAUAUAUUUUUUAUGUAGAAAAUGCUCAAAAAAAUUUAUUUUACAGUUUUUAUAUGUAAAGUAGCCUUGUACACCUUGAUAAUUGAGUUUAUUGUUUCCAAUAGUACUACUUUGGUUUGGAAUUUGGGCAGAAUAAUUACGUGGUAUGGAUCUUCAUGUCAGUUUCUUUUCCUUAUACUUGAGUUUAGUGUAGUUUCUAUUAAUCAGCUUAAAAGCCAAUUAUUUGAAAUGGUCUUUAGUUCCUUUGACACUGUAAAUUUCCAAUAAUUGGUGAAUCUACUGUCAUUUUCAUUUGGUGUACUUGAAAUGGUUAACUUGCACCUGAGGGCAAAUUGAAGGUGUUUUUUUGCUGCAAACAAUUAACUGUAGCCUUAAAUUACUGAUAAUAACUGUAAAUUUACUUUUACUCAUCACAAAAAAAAUACUGAUUAUAACUUUAUUUUGGGAUUCCUUGUGAGUGAAGCUCUAGUGGAACGAGCACUUACUAAUAUGGGUAUUUUCAUUCUGUGUGUCUCUUGAUGACUAAUGCAGUCAUUCUAUCCAAUUCGUACUGUUUAUUACACCAAAACAAUGUCCUUUUGGAAAUAUAUAUAUAUAUAUAUAUAUAUAUAAAAGACUAAAGCUAAAACUAAAGAUAUAAUUGGACAAACUAAAUGGAAAGAUUAAAUUGAAAACACAUUAAAAUUAAAUAACUGAAAUGAAAGAGAAAAAUGAUACUUAAAUGAUUGAAUUGAAAAUAAAUUAAACUUAAGAGUCUUAGACUAAGUAAAUUGUAAUUUAAUUAAAACAGCAAUCUCAUAAGCGAAAAGAGUUCACUAUAUUGUUUGUUAAGGAUGGGAAGUAAAUUGUUUGGUAAGGAUGUAAAGUACCUUCCCAGAUGGCAAACUAAUUCUUACCGAGCUUCUUCUUUUCUUUUUUUUUUUUCUUUUUUUUAUUUAUUAAUUCUUGGAGCUAGGUAUCAACAACCAACAUUAAUUCGUUCUUAUCUUCAUUCCUGAAGCAAAAUAAUAACCCCCAGUUGUAUUGUAUCACUCUAGGCAUAUAAAGGGGAGGCCCACAGCCACACCACACUUUCAAUGUCUGCUUCUAUCAACUUGUCCUCCCACUUUGGUCAUGGAGCCAAAAUAAAAGUUUUAAAUUAACUAUGAUUUGUUUUAGAAGAAAAUUAAUGGUCAGUGAGCUAUGUAUCAAAGUGCAUUUUUGUUCCUAAGUUAUCAAUUGUUUUAAUUUAGUCUUUAAAAUUUUAAAAUUGAAUGACAAUUGCUAAUUUGAGGUCAAAAAUAUGAUUUUGGACCCUUAAUAAUUAUUAGCCCUAUAUGAGAACAGUAAUUGCUAAUGUGAUACACAUUUACUACAUAUGUGUCCUUAAAUCACAAAAUUCUGGUAAAAAAAAAAAAAACACAAGAUAAAUAGAAAUAUUUAAAUAUUGAUUUUGGAAGACUAGCAUAGAGCCUAAGGAUGAAACUGAAAUCUAAUGGCAUAAUUCAUAGACUAAUUAUAUUUUAAUUAAAUAAAUGAAACUAGGGAUACUUAAUCUAGGAUGGAGGAGAUCAUGAUUAAACAUAGACAUAUUGAAGUUUGCGUAUUUUUUUCAAAGACCAUCCAUGGUGAUUUAUUGAAUGAAAAUAUUUUAUCUCGCUUUGUGGGAUGGAUUAGAUACUAAUCAAGAAACUUGGCAUGUCAAAUUUUAUAGUCCUCACCACAAAUUUUAUCUAAAGUGCACUAUGAUUGUCUUAUCUUUUACAGAUAUACAUUGGAGGAAUGCCAUAAAAUUCAGUCGUUGUUGUAUUUCUAUGAAGUGGCAUUGGGUCAGAUGAUAAAUAAAGAGAAAACUAUGCUAUUUUUUAGCAGAAAUACUGAUGCACAAACGCAGGAUGCUAUCAAGUAGUCCUUCAAUGUCCCAACUAUACAACACUAUGAAAAAUAUCUGGGGCAUCCUUCCUUUAUUGGAAGAGAAAAGAAGAUUUGUUUUACUAAGGUGAAAGAACGGAUAUGGGCAAGGAUGCAAGGUUGGAAGGAAAAGCUUUUGUCCCAAGCUGGAAAGGGGGUUAUGAUCAAGGCUGUAAUUCAAUCCAUUCCUACUUACUCGAUGAGUGUUUUUAAAAUGCCGGUCAGUCUGUGUAAGGAAAUCGAAACAAUGAUUCAUAAGUUUUGGUGGGGCUAAGGUGAUUCAAAAAAGAUCCAUUAGGUGAAAUGGAGCUCCUUGUGUUCAUCAAAAUCAGUUGGUGUGAUGGGUUUUUGAGAUAUCCAAAAAUUUAAUAAUGCUUUAUUGGACAAAUAGGUGUGGAGAUUGAUUUACCAAAAAGACACUUUGCUCUACAAGGUUUUUAGUGCGAAAUACUUCCCUCAUGGGAGUAUUAUGGAAGCUCCUGUUCCUAAAAAGUGUUCUUAUGCUUGGCAGACUAUUUUACAAGCUCAGGAGGUCAUUGAGAAGUGUGCUAUUUGGCAAAUGGGCAGUGGGCAAGGGAUUGACGUGUGGAAGAACCGGUGGCUCCCGGACCCGACCUAUAACAAAAUUGUGUCCCCAAAGGGCGAGUACUCUGUAUCUCGGGUUAGUGAAUUGUUUUACCCGAACACAAGGACAUGGGAUCCUGGCAAGCUUGAGGAGACAUUCUACCCGUGGGAAGCUGAGUUGGUGAGUCGGAUUCAGGUGGGUGAAGGUAGUUUUGAGGACCUCCUGGUCUGGCCUCUGACUGUUGAUGUUUCCUAU